rnacentral:tRNA from 1 species
GGGCCUGUAGCUCAGUGGACUAGAGCACGUGGCUACGGACCACGGUGUCGGGGGUUCGAAUCCUCCCAGGCCCG